ACCAAGGCGACGAUCAGUAGCUGGUCUGAGAGGACGACCAGCCACACUGGAACUGAGACACGGUCCAGACUCCUACGGGAGGCAGCAGUGGGGAAUUUUGGACAAUGGGCGAAAGCCUGAUCCAGCAAUGCCGCGUGAGUGAAGAAGGCCUUCGGGUUGUAAAGCUCUUUUGUCAGGGAAGAAACGGUGGGGGCUAAUAUCCCUUGCUAAUGACGGUACCUGAAGAAUAAGCACCGGCUAACUACGUGCCAGCAGCCGCGGUAAUACGUAGGGUGCAAGCGUUAAUCGGAAUUACUGGGCGUAAAGCGUGCGCAGGCGGUUUUGUAAGUCUGUCGUGAAAUCCCCGGGCUCAACCUGGGAAUUGCGAUGGAGACUGCAAGGCUAGAAUCUGGCAGAGGGGGGUAGAAUUCCACGUGUAGCAGUGAAAUGCGUAGAGAUGUGGAGGAACACCGAUGGCGAAGGCAGCCCCCUGGGUCAAGAUUGACGCUCAUGCACGAAAGCGUGGGGAGCAAACAGGAUUAGAUACCCUGGUAGUCCACGCCCUAAACGAUGUCUACUAGUUGUCGGGUUUUAAUUAACUUGGUAACGCAGCUAACGCGUGAAGUAGACCGCCUGGGGAGUACGGUCGCAAGAUUAAAACUCAAAGGAAUUGACGGGGACCCGCACAAGCGGUGGAUGAUGUGGAUUAAUUCGAUGCAACGCGAAAAACCUUACCUACCCUUGACAUGUACGGAAGCCACGAGAGAUCGAGGUGUGCUCGAAAGAGAGCCGUAACACAGGUGCUGCAUGGCUGUCGUCAGCUCGUGUCGUGAGAUGUUGGGUUAAGUCCCGCAACGAGCGCAACCCUUGUCAUUAGUUGCUACGAAAGAGCACUCUAAUGAGACUGCCGGUGACAAACCGGAGGAAGGUGGGGAUGACGUCAAGUCCUCAUGGCCCUUAUGGGUAGGGCUUCACACGUCAUACAAUGGUACAUACAGAGGGCCGCCAACCCGCGAGGGGGAGCUAAUCCCAGAAAGUGUAUCGUAGUCCGGAUUGUAGUCUGCAACUCGACUACAUGAAGUUGGAAUCGCUAGUAAUCGCGGAUCAGCAUGUCGCGGUGAAUACGUUCCCGGGUCUUGUACACACCGCCCGUCACACCAUGGGAGCGGGUUUUACCAGAAGUAGGUAGCUUAACCGUAAGGGGGGCGCUUACCACGGUAGGAUUCGUGACUGGGGUGAAGUCGGAACAAGGUAGCCGUAUCGGAAGGUGCGGCUG
rnacentral:rRNA from 1 species